rnacentral:lncRNA from 1 species
AUUAUUUUUGCCAGAUUUCCAAAAGGUUUUAAUAAAUGUUUAAAUGCUUAAAUGUUUUGAUAUUGUUAACUGAAUGUUAUAAAUAUAUGUUGAACUUUAUAAAGUUUAAUAUCAUUUUCAUACCAGUAGAUCAAAAGAAUAUUUAUGAAAGUCUAUUAUUAGCACAUAGUUACAUACUUUAAAUUCAUUAAAUCAAUUACUGCCUUAAUAAUCAAAUUCUUCUUAGGAACUAUUCAACCAAGUACUUAAAUGAUAACUGGAUCAAUUAACACCUUUAAUUGAAAAAGAAUCUCUUUAAUCUUAUCUUUAAGAUCUUUUGAUCUCAACAAACAAUCACUUACAACAAAAGUGUGUGUUUACAUGUGUUCACCCAAUUAUCACUUAAACAACAGGAUAAAUUGUUGAUCAUUGCAUGCAGAAAGGUAUAAAUUUUGAUGUCAGUACAAAACUAGCAUCAUUUUCUGAUAUUUACUGAAAGAAAUUUGUUCAAGCUCCUACAUUAGAAUACAUUUUCUUCCAUGGAUUCAUCACUUACUCAACUUAUUGCUGCUCAUGACAACACAGAGAGACAACUAAUAAUAUUUGGUAAGUAUAUUUAUACUUUUUCAAUAUUUUCACACACAAAUUUUUUUUUUGAUUUUGUAACAAAUUAAACAUAUUUCAAUCAAUGACAUUUCCCAAGAAUUCCUAGAAUUUCACCUCAUUAAACUGGAAUACCUCUUUUUAUAAUAAUUUGUAAAACAUAGAUUUCAAACACUCUUUAAUUUUUUACUUGUCAUAGUUAUAUUAUAUAUCUGCUUAUCAUAUUUCAGAUGACAGUGUAACCAGUCUAAGCCAGAAGAUAUUUUCAGCAUCAAACCAGUCUGAGAACCUACGUCUGCUUCUACGGCUUUCUGUUACUGAAGGUGUCCAGGGCAUGUACACACAAUUCCACAACAAAACCAAACAACAGGUUCUGGAGAAAUCACAACUUGAAACAGAUAUUACAAUAAUGGAGCACACAACAGCAAUGCUAACACCAUCUAGGGGAGGUAACACCAAAACAGACAAGGCGGCUGGGAUAUGGACUAGCGCUUAUUGUGAGUUCUACAGAGGCUCUUAGAGACUAUUAGUGCUACAUGUUCAUAGACCUAACCAAAUUAUAUAUAUGUGAUAUGUUAUCAACAUGUGUUCCAUGUACUAAAAUAUGAUGUGCUUUGUUGCAAAUGAUGCCUGUUUUUUUGUUAUUGUUAAGGAUACCAAAUAAAUAAAUAAAACUCA